CCUACGGGCGGCAGCAGUGGGGGAUAUUGCACAAUGGGCGAAAGCCUGAUGCAGCAACGCCGCGUGAGCGAUGAAGGCCUUCGGCGCGUAAAGCCCUGUCGUCAAGGAAGAAAAUGACGGUACUUGAGGAGGAAGCCCCGGCUAACUACGUGCCAGCAGCCGCGGGAAUACGUAGGGGGCUAGCGUUAUCCGGAAUUACUGGGUGUAAAGGGGGCGGAGGUGGGUUUGUAAAGCAGGAGUGAAAGUCCAGGGGCUAACCCUUGGAAUGCCUUUGAAACUGGGAGACUGGAGUACGGGAGAGGCAGGCGGAAUUCCUAGUGUAGCGGUGAAAUGCGUAGAUAUUAGGAGGAACACCGGUGGCGAAGGCGGCCUUCUGGACUGUGACUGACGCUGAGGCACGAAGGCGUGGGGAGCAAACAGGAUUAGAUACCCGUGUAGUC
rnacentral:rRNA from 1 species